rnacentral:rRNA from 1 species
UACGAAGGGGGCUAGCGUUGCUCGGAAUCACUGGGCGUAAAGGGUGCGUAGGCGGGUCUUUAAGUCAGGGGUGAAAUCCUGGAGCUCAACUCCAGAACUGCCUUUGAUACUGAAGAUCUUGAGUUCGGGAGAGGUGAGUGGAACUGCGAGUGUAGAGGUGAAAUUCGUAGAUAUUCGCAAGAACACCAGUGGCGAAGGCGGCUCACUGGCCCGAUACUGACGCCGAAGCACGAAAGCGUGGGGAGCAAACAGG